GACGUAGGGGGCCAGCGUUGUUCGGAAUUACUGGGUGUAAAGGGUUCGUAGGCGGUGUGGCAAGUCGGGUGUGAAAUCUCUGGGCUCAACCCAGAGACUGCUUCCGAAACUGCUGUGCUUGAGUGUGAGAGAGGCUCGUGGAAUUGCAGGUGUAGCGGUGAAAUGCGUAGAUAUCUGCAGGAACACCCGUGGCGAAAGCGGCGAGCUGGAUCACUACUGACGCUGAGGAACGAAAGCUAGGGGAGCAAACAGG
rnacentral:rRNA from 1 species